rnacentral:rRNA from 1 species
AGAGUUUGAUCCUGGCUCAGGACGAACGCUGGCGGCGUGCUUAACACAUGCAAGUCGAGCGAAGCACUUUGGAAAGAUUCUUCGGAUGAUUUCCUUUGUGACUGAGCGGCGGACGGGUGAGUAACGCGUGGGUAACCUGCCUCAUACAGGGGGAUAACAGUUAGAAAUGACUGCUAAUACCGCAUAAGACCACGGUACCGCAUGGUACAGUGGUAAAAACUCCGGUGGUAUGAGAUGGACCCGCGUCUGAUUAGGUGGUUGGUGGGGUAACGGCCUACCAAGCCGACGAUCAGUAGCCGACCUGAGAGGGUGACCGGCCACAUUGGGACUGAGACACGGCCCAGACUCCUACGGGAGGCAGCAGUGGGGAAUAUUGCACAAUGGAGGAAACUCUGAUGCAGCGACGCCGCGUGAAGGAUGAAGUAAUUCGUUAUGUAAACUUCUGUCAUAGAGGAAGAACGGUGGAUAUAGGGAAUGAUAUCCAAGUGACGGUACUCUAUAAGAAAGCCACGGCUAACUACGUGCCAGCAGCCGCGGUAAUACGUAGGUGGCGAGCGUUAUCCGGAAUUAUUGGGCGUAAAGAGGGAGCAGGCGGCACUAAGGGUCUGUGGUGAAAGAUCGAAGCUUAACUUCGGUAAGCCAUGGAAACCGUAGAGCUAGAGUGUGUGAGAGGAUCGUGGAAUUCCAUGUGUAGCGGUGAAAUGCGUAGAUAUAUGGAGGAACACCAGUGGCGAAGGCGACGAUCUGGCGCAUAACUGACGCUCAGUCCCGAAAGCGUGGGGAGCAAAUAGGAUUAGAUACCCUAGUAGUCCACGCCGUAAACGAUGAGUACUAAGUGUUGGGUGUCAAAGCUCAGUGCUGCAGUUAACGCAAUAAGUACUCCGCCUGAGUAGUACGUUCGCAAGAAUGAAACUCAAAGGAAUUGACGGGGGCCCGCACAAGCGGUGGAGCAUGUGGUUUAAUUCGAAGCAACGCGAAGAACCUUACCAGGUCUUGACAUCGAUCUAAAGGCUCCAGAGAUGGAGAGAUAGCUAUAGAGAAGACAGGUGGUGCAUGGUUGUCGUCAGCUCGUGUCGUGAGAUGUUGGGUUAAGUCCCGCAACGAGCGCAACCCCUGUUGCCAGUUGCCAGCAUUAAGUUGGGGGCUCUGGCGAGACUGCCGAUGACAAGCCGGAGGAAGGCGGGGAUGACGUCAAAUCAUCAUGCCCCUUAUGACCUGGGCUACACACGUGCUACAAUGGACAGAGCAGAGGGAAGCGAAGCCGCGAGGUGGAGCGAAACCCAUAAAACUGUUCUCAGUUCGGACUGCAGUCUGCAACUCGACUGCACGAAGAUGGAAUCGCUAGUAAUCGCGAAUCAGCAUGUCGCGGUGAAUACGUUCUCGGGCCUUGCACUCACCGCCCGUCAA